AACAACAAUCUUUCACUAUAUCAAUAAUGAGUACAACCAAUAAUCUUGCCAAAUCUCUAGAACUAGGACUUGAUGAAAAACCUAAAAGAACAAGAACAAGAAAUACACUAUCUCUUUUCUUUUCUCUAGCACACACUUUACAAUAUUCUCUCACUCUAAUCCCUUGAGUGGUAUACAAAAUAUUGUUUUGCUCCCUUCCAUUCAAAAUUAGUACAAUAGCCCCUUUAUAUAGACAUAAUAAAGGUCUUCUUCAAUAAGGAUUAUUAAUCCUAAUUGGAAUCUAGUUAUAAAUCCUACUCCAAUUGAGAAAUUAACUCCAAUUAGGUAAACAAGUCCAAUUGGGAAAACAAUUUAAUCCUCUACGACUAUAAUUCCUUAUAGACUUAGGACAACUUAUCAUGGGAUGAAAAACCUAACAAUCUCCCCUCCUUCCAGACUAUAAGGAAGGUAUACCAAAAAAUAGGAUUGUUCCUCUUGACCAAAGUCCCAUUGAUUGAACCGUUCAUGACUGCGCUCCCCUUGAUUGAACUACUCAUGACCAGACUCCCCUUUAUCCAACAAUUCAUUUACCAAGACCCUCUUGAUUAGAUUUCUCUUGACUAGGCUCCCUCUGAUCACAAUACCCAUGACCAGACUCCAUGUGAUCGAACAUCUCUUGACCAAACUUCUCUUGACCAGGCUCUCCCUGAUCAGAACUACCAUCAUUGUUGGCAAAGGCAAUUAUAGACUUCUUUGCCAGAAAACAUCGCUUAUCUUCAUCUUGGUCCAAUCAGCAUCAGACAUACUUGCUGGCUUGCUCUUAACACCUUCAGUAAAGCAUGUCCUCUUCUUGAUUUCCACGUAACCCAGUUGGAGUGGGUGAGUUUCAUCAUAAUUGCACCCUCCAUUCUAAACGGAUAUCAGCCAAACCUGGCAUUGAUACCACUUGUUGAGAAUAUCGCUUUUAAGAAUGGGAAAAAUAGAAAAACUCCGAAAAUCGAAAAACAAAUAACCAAGAUAAAUAACACCAAGAAUUUACGUGGUUCGGCAAUAUGCGCCUAUGUCCACGGGACAGCAACAACAGUCUUUCACUAUAUCAAUAAUGAGUAGAACCAAUAAUCUUGCCAAAUCUCUAGAACUAGAACUUGACGAAAAACCUGAAAGAACAAGAACAAGAAAUACACUAUCUCUUUUCUUUUCUCUUGCACACACUUUACAAUAUUCUCACUCUAAUCCCUUGAGUGGUAUACAAAAUAUUGUUUUGUUCCCUUCCAUUCAAAGCUAGUACAAUAGCCCCUUUAUACAGACAUAAUAAAGGUCUUCAGGAUUAUUAAUCCUAAUUGGAAUCUAGUUAUAAAUUGUAC
rnacentral:lncRNA from 1 species